UACGUAGGGACCGAGCGUUGUCCGGAUUCAUUGGGCGUAAAGAGCUCGUAGGCGGCCACUCAAGUCGAAUGUGAAACCUCGAGGCUCAACCUCGAGCCUGCAUUCGAUACUGGGCGGCUAGAGUCUGGUAGGGGGAUCUGGAAUUCCUGGUGUAGCGGUGGAAUGCGCAGAUAUCAGGAGGAACACCAAUGGCGAAGGCAGCUCGCUGGGACGUGACUGACGCUGAGGAGCGAAAGCGUGGGGAGCGAACAGG
rnacentral:rRNA from 1 species